AUUGAACGCUAGCGGGAUGCCUUACACAUGCAAGUCGAACGGAGUGGCGAACGGGUGAGUAAUGAAUGGGAACGAGACCAGUAGAGGGGGAUAACUACGCGAAAGAGUAGCUAAUACAGCAUACUAUUGGACCGGCCGGUAUCGGAUUAGCUAGUUGGUGGGGUAAGGUCUCACCUAGGCGACGAUCCGUAGCUGGUUGGAGAGGAAGACCAGCCACACUGGAACUGAGACACGGCCCAGACUCCUACGGGAGGCAGCAGUGGGGAAUUUGGGACAAUGGGUGAAACCCUGAUCCAGCCAUCCCGCGUGUGGGAUGAAGGCCUUCGGGUUGUAAAGCACUUUUGGCAGGAAAGCGGUACCUGCAGAAUAAGCACCGGCUAACUACGUGCCAGCAGCCGCGGUAAUUC
rnacentral:rRNA from 1 species